AUUUUUCAGUCAGAAUGAAGGUAAUAAUGAUAGAGACAACUUCAAUUUUUAUUUGAUUUAUUUUGAACAUAACAUAGGUAGUCAGGAUGGCCAUUUGAUGCCGACUUCACUAUUGCAACAACGCCCUUUCAUUUUUGAAAACUUAAAGAAA